GCGCGUGCAGCCCUCCGGCCACUCUAUCCCCUGGGGGCGGCAGAGGCCAUAGACACGUCUACCACUCACACCUGCGGGCCUUCCCGCAGAAAACCUUCCCGGCUCCUCCCAGGCCCGAGCCCCGUGUUCCUGUGAAGUCUGGAGACCCAGCACGUCCCGGCCUGGUGCUCUGAGUGAGCCCUUUAUUGAGACACUGCAGGCUGGCGGUGUCUGCGGUGAUAGAGUCGCAAAGGUCAACAGAGUGCCCUGGUUCCUGGCUGAGGGGUGAGACCGACAGUUACCAAACCAAACAUGGGACUCAGAAAGUGGAAAGUUCUGGAAGGAGACAGGAUGGUCCAGGCCAUGGAGAGGACUGGCCUUCAGAGCCAGGGCAUCCCUAGAACUUCCUGCCUCUCUGCCAGCCCCCCCAGGAGACACCACACCCCCACCCCAGAUGUCUGAGCCAUCCUCUAGGAGAGCCCCCCACCUUCUGCUCCUGUCUCCCUGGAGCUGGAAGCAGCUGUGGCCCUGCUCUGCUCUGGCUUUACCCUGAGACCCUCUACUUGCAAAGCUCUAAAGCUCUGGUUUCCCCAGAAUCCUGCAUGGAUGUGAGAGCUGGACCAUAAAGAAGGCUGAGCACCGAAGAAUUGAUGGUUUUGAAUUGUGGUGCUGGAG